GAAGGUGGCAAGCGUUGUUCGGAUUCACUGGGCGUACAGGGAGCGUAGGCGGUUGGGUAAGCCCUCCGUGAAAUCUCCGGGCCUAACCCGGAAAGUGCAGAGGGGACUGCUCAGCUAGAGGAUGGGAGAGGAGCGCGGAAUUCCCGGUGUAGCGGUGAAAUGCGUAGAGAUCGGGAGGAAGGCCGGUGGCGAAGGCGGCGCUCUGGAACAUUUCUGACGCUGAGGCUCGAAAGCGUGGGGAGCAAACAGGAUUAGAUACCCUGGUAGUCCACGCCUUAAACUAUGGAUACUAAGUGUCGGCGGUUUACCGCCGGUGCCGCAGCUAACGCAAUAAGUAUCCCGCCUGGGAAGUACGAUCGCAAGGUUG
rnacentral:rRNA from 1 species